GGCCUAACAGCUAGCCUAACCAACCAAAAACAACAACCAACCAUCAAUAACCCCUGAUACACCUAAAAAAACAAACAAACCAUUUUUCCCCUUUAGUAUAGGAGAUAGAAAAAGACAUCUGAGCUAUAGAAAAAGUACCGCAAGGGAACGCUGAAAGAGAAAUGAAACAACCCAGUGAAGCAAAAAAAAGCAGAGAUUAAAACUCGUACCUUUUGCAUCAUGAUUUAGCUAGCAAUUCCUAAGCAAAAAGAAUUUUAGUUUAGUUCCCCGAAACUAAGUGAGCUACUCCAAGACAGCCUAUUAUAAGGGCACACCCGUCUCUGUGGCAAAAGAGUGGGAAGAGCUUUGAGUAGAGGUGACAGACCUACCGAACUUAGUUAUAGCUGGUUGCCUGCAAACUGGAUAGAAGUUCAGCCCUUUACACUUCUUGAAUCAAGCCUGGAAUACCCUAACUGAACUAAAGAAUGUAAAGGAGUUAGUUAAAGGAGGUACAGCUCCUUUAUUUCAAGACACAACUUCCCCGGGAGGAUAAAGAUCAUAAUCAACCAAGGGACCUAUGUUUAGGUGGGCCUAAAAGCAGCCACCCUAAUAGAAAGCGUUAAAGCUCAAACAUAACACCUCCCACUAAUACUGAUAUAGCCUCUGACUCCCCCACCGAUAGCAGGCCCUCUCAUGCCCCCAUGAGAAUGAUUAUGCUAAUAUGAGUAAUAAGAAAGAAAGACUUUCUCCAAGCACACGUUUACAUCGGAACGAACCCCCACCGAAAAUUAAAGGACCCAACCAAAGAGGGCAGUGAAAAUAUAAGAGAACACAAGAAAAGCACUCAACAACCAACCUUUAACCCCACACUGGCGUGCUAACAAAGGAAAAACUAAAAGAGAAAGAAGGAACUCGGCAAACACAAGCCUCGCCUGUUUACCAAAAACAUCGCCUCUUGAACCCCAAAUAUAAGAGGUCCCGCCUGCCCUGUGACUUUAAGUUUAACGGCCGCGGUAUCUUAACCGUGCGAAGGUAGCGCAAUCACUUGUCUCUUAAAUAGGGACCUGUAUGAAUGGCAUAACGAGGGCUUAGCUGUCUCCUUUCUCAAGUUAAUGAAAUUGACCUCCCCGUGCAGAGGCGGGGAUACCUACAUAAGACGAGAAGACCCUAUGGAGCUUUAGGCACAAGAACUGCCCAUGUAAAAACCUCCUAAAAAAGAAUAUAACCUUAUGGACCCAGUUCAUAUGCCUUUGGUUGGGGCGACCGCGGGGAAACAAAAAACCCCCAUGUGGACCGGGGCCUCUGGCCCUAGAAACAAGAGCUCCCGCUCUAAUUAACAGAACUUCUGACCUCUCUGAUCCGGAACUUAACCGAUCAACGAACCGAGUUACCCUAGGGAUAACAGCGCAAUCCCCUUCUAGAGCCCAUAUCGACAAGGGGGUUUACGACCUCGAUGUUGGAUCAGGAUGUCCUAAUGGUGCAGCCGCUAUUAAGGGUUCGUUUGUUCAACGAUUAAAAUCCUACGUGAUCUGAGUUCAGACCGGAGUAAUCCAGGUCGGUUUCUAUCUAUGAUGUAAUUUAUUUCAGUACGAAAGGACCAAAAAAAUGAGGCCCCUGCUUCAAACAAGCCUCCCCCUCACUUACUGACUCCUACUUAAGUAAAUAAGAGGGUACACCCCGUAAGCCACAGAAAAUGGCAU
rnacentral:rRNA from 1 species